rnacentral:lncRNA from 1 species
AGGCAGCCGUCAGUGCAAAUGCGAGGACCAAGGCUGGGCAUGCAGGCUCCCAUCACCUCGCCUGAACAUCACCUGCUACAUGGCCGUGGGCGACUUCUCCAAGUUUGUACGUCCUCAUCUGCGUGACCGGGCUGAUGGCACCUCCAGCCCAGCACUGUAGGGAGCUCUAGGGGAAAUAACCUACAGGCCAUGGACAGUAGCUACAUUUUCAGACUGCUCAGAAUGCAAAUCCACCAGCCCUCAUUGCGUGACUUGGUGGGGGUCAGUCCAUCUUCCACCACAGAGGCCAAGGGCCAGAGCCCUGGGGUCCCACCUCCUGGCCCAGCACAGCCAGACAACCUCUGCACAGUCAGUCACCUGGAGUCUCCCACUUCCACAAGGGGCAGGAGGAGUCCCUCGUGCAGGCCACUGGAAAGUUCCUGAGGUCAAGACAUCCAGUGUCCUGAGAUACAGGAGCAUUGUUUCGUGAGUAGGUGCGCGGCUGUGGCCACUGCCUUUUGGGGAUGGAGA